rnacentral:rRNA from 1 species
GAGGGGUAAGCCCUCGGCGAACUGCUCAGUAAUAUGUAGCUCACCUACCCUUAGGACGGGGAUAACCUCGGGAAAUGUUAGUUAUAUAAAAGGUCGAAACCCUUUUUGAAGAUUUUCAACAAUUCGAAAAUUGUUUUUGAAAAUAUAUGACUAACACCCGAAACUGAGUUCAAUACCCGAUAGGAAUUUAGCUCUGGAAUGACUAAAUUCCCAAAGCUACGGCGCCUAAGGAUGGGGCUACAUCUCAUCAGCCUGUUGGGGGUGUAACGAACCCUCAAAGCUAUAACGGGUACGGGCCGUGAGAGCGGAAGCCCGGAGAUGGAUUCUGAGACAUGAAUCCAGGUCCUACGGGACGCAGCAGGCGCGAAACCUUCGCAAUGUGCUAACGCACGACGAGGGGAUCCGAAGUGCUACAGCACUGCUGUAGCUUUUGUCGAGUCCAAACAGCUCGGCGAAUAAGGGGUGGGUAAGACAGGUGCCAGCCGCCGCGGUAAUACCUGCGCCCCAAGUGGUAUCCAGUAUUAUUGGGCCUAAAGCGUCCGUAGCCGGUCUGACAAGUCUUCGGUGAAAUUCACUAGUAGACUAGUGAGCUUGUCGGAGAUACUGUCAGACUUGGGACCGGGAGAGGGUAGGGGUACUCCUAGGGGAGGGGUAAAAUCCUAUAAUCCUAGGGGGACCACCGGUGGCGAAGGCGCCUACCUAGAACGGUUCCGACGGUGAGGAACGAAAGCUAGGGGAGCGAUCGGGAUU